UAGGGAAUCUUCCGCAAUGGGCGAAAGCUUGACGGAGCAACGCCGCGUGAGUGAUGAAGGUCUUCGGAUCGUAAAACUCUGUUAUUAGGGAAGAACAAAUGUGUAAGUAACUAUGCACGUCUUGACGGUACCUAAUCAGAAAGCCACGGCUAACUACGUGCCAGCAGCCGCGGUAAUACUUAGGUGGCAAGCGUUAUCCGGAAUUAUUUGGCGUAAAGCGCGAGUAGGCGGCUUUUUAAGUCUGAUGUGAAAGCCCACGGCUCAACCGUGGAGGGUUAUUGGAAACUGGAAAACUUGAGUGCAGAAGAGGAAAGUGGAAUUCCGUGUGUAGCGGUGAAAUGCGCAGAGAUAUGGAGGAACACCAGUGGCGAAGGCGACUUACUGGUCUGUAACUGACGCUGAUGUGCGAAAGCGUGGGGAUCAAACAGG
rnacentral:rRNA from 1 species